CGGAAUGCUGUGAUGGGAUGAUGAGCUGCUUGUGCGUAAAAUCGUAUCCCCUCAGAGUUUGUUCAAGUCCACAAACCUCUGUCUGUGACGGAGCCCUCAGACAUGUCUCCUCUAGUCACUAGCAGAUUCCGACAGUGGUUGCUUUCGUAAUCGCUUCCAACAUAAAAGCUCCUUAACGGAAACACGUCUUCUGGACUCCCUGCGUGACAGUUUCCGGCGAGGAGUGGGUGUUCUUACAGGAGUCCCUGAAACCUCCCCACUGUUUUCGCUGGAAGUGUCUCUGAGCCAUCCCUCCAGCUCAGCUCCUCUCUCCCUGCUGGUUCCCUCUUCAGCUGCUGCGUCUCUCCCAACCUGUGUGAGCCCUUUCACCUCCCUGCUGGUUCCCUCUUCAGCUGCUGCGUCUCUCCCAACCUGUGUGAGCCCUUUCACCUCCCUGCUGGUUCCCUCUUCAGCUGCUGCGUCUCUCCCAACCUGUGUGAGCCCUUUCACCUCCCUUCCGUCCGAUGGCAGUUCCCUGACAAAGCUGAAAGAAUGGCACUGCAAAAGCCUGAAAUUCUGAUGCAGCCCUUUAAUUCUCAUUUGAUUUCACUGUCAUGGGUGCCGAGCACCUCAUACAACCCUGGCCACAUAUUUUGCAAACCUACAGAUAUGACGAGUCUUUUUCGGUGUGAUGAGUAACCUGAUUUUCCAGUAUCUUUGUGCAAAAACAAAGCUAUAUACUUAUAUCGAGAGAACAUAUGCAUGCUGUAUUUUGCUGCAAUGCUUUUGUGUGUAUGUGUGUGUGUAAAACAGGAAAUAAUAAAUACCUGUGAGGUUGUCACUACAAAACAAAUAUGACAGUUCCUUUCUUUGCUCAUAUUCAAUUCAAUUUCCGCAAUGAAAGUUUAUUUAGGGAAAAUAGGUAAAUGUUACUAGUCUUGCUUAAAAUCAGUAAAUUAGCUUGCUAUGCAUCCAUCCUCCUCCCCCAAGGGUAGCCAUUUAUCUUACCUGACAGCAGGGGCGGAUUUUGGUAACAUGGCACUCUGAGCAAGGACUGAAUUUGGUGCCUCUCACCCCUGCCUUCCGUUCUGCACAUGCUCUCAAGUGCACCACAUCAUACUUGUGACAACUCUGACCAGAGGCCUAACUUUGAGUAGGUAGGCAUAUAAAUAUAGGUAUUAUUAUUAUUUUGCGUUCCUCUCAGCUUGACGCCUGGGAGUGGGGGCAGGAAACAGCCUGCACCACCUAAAAUUUGGUGCUGCUCACAGUACUGCCAAGAGGACAAAUCCUCUUUUUGAAGGUGUGCUCUAAUUGGAGGGCUGGCUAGUCCAAGCCUGGUUUAAAGAUAAGGAACCAUCAAAAGGGAGAGCAGGAGCCUCAAAAUUGACUGAGCAGGCACACAAUUCACCUGAUGUCUUCCCCCACUGUGGUGAGAUGUAUUGCAUUUCUACUUCAAUUACAGUAGUUAUUUCUAAAUGUACACCUGUGCAC